rnacentral:lncRNA from 1 species
ACCCUCUCUAAAACACGUACUCUCUCGAAUCGAAGAUGGGGAGUAACUCAGCGACGGUGGCCGCUAUCUUCUUCUCUCUCCUCCUCCUGAUCUCACAUACCUACUCAUUCUAUCUCCCCGGCGUCGCUCCUCGCGAUUUUCAAAGGGUACUCUCUCUCUUUCUGCGUUGAACUAAUCGAUCUAUGCUUCGUGUUUCGUCGCGCGUUUUCUUGUAAUUUCGUUGUAAUUUGCACAUGAUUUAGAUCUGAG